rnacentral:rRNA from 1 species
UACGUAGGUGGCAAGCGUUAUCCGGAAUUACUGGGCGUAAAGCGCACGCAAGCGGUCUUGUAAGUUUGACGUGAAAGCUCCCGGCUUAACUGGGAGAGGUCGUUGAAGACUGCAAGACUUGAGGAAAUGAGAGGGGUGUAGAAUUCCCGGUGUAGUGGUGGAAUGCGUAGAUAUCGGGGGGAAUACCAGUGGCGAAAGCGGCACCCUAGCAUUUUUCUGACGCUCAUGUGCGAAAGCGUGGGGAGCGAACGGG